AUGAAGAACAUCCAAGAUUAUAUGGUCGAGAAGCUCAGCGUCGACAAGAGCAUCAUCCUAGAGCUCUGCAUCAUCCUCUACAAGCAAGUACCGAACCACCAUGGCCAUGCCACUGUCUUGACCAUGUGUCUGUUGUGGUCCUUGAUGCAGGCCAUUGUGCACCAAUUUGACGACAAUGAUUUCCACAGCUUUGUUCAUGGAUGGCUGGCUUAUGAAAAGCUCACGCCGACGCCUCCGGUGUGGCUUCCCCUACGCCUCCAGCAUAGAAAUGGUCUCUUGCACGCAAAUGUUCUGUGUUUGAUCAAUCCAAAUCUGCAGUUGUCUCCCCAUGUAAUGGCAUCAAGUUCAGAGCGCCCCAACUGCCUCUCCUUCGACCGUGGUUCAGUUAGUUGA
rnacentral:rRNA from 1 species